UGGCGACUAUAGCGAUUUGGAACCACCUGAUACCAUCUCGAACUCAGAAGUGAAACAUUUCCGCGCCAAUGAUAGUGUGAGG
rnacentral:rRNA from 1 species